GAUGGUAUCUAUCUUCAGGCUUCACUGCUUCAGCAGACAAAAGCAUAGUCUAAAAUGAUACUCUGAUCAUCUUUGGGUUCUGAGACAUUGAUCUUAAAUUAUUCCACUGCAGGCAAUCCUUCGUCUCUAAGUAUGGUGCUCAAUGACUGUAAUUUAUCCUGCACCAUAAAUUAAUAUGCAGUGUAAAUCAAAGCUGUUUUGACUAUCUCAUAGAUUCUGACUUGCUGAGUUAAUGAGUUUCAGUUUCCUAUGAACCUGGAGAGAAAACAUGUUUGCUGGCCUGAGUAAAUCAUGUACGAUAUGCUUAGAAUUUUUUAGAUGAAUAUUGGAUAAGCAAAACAUUGGUAGUCCUUCAGCUGAUUUUCUUUUUGAAAAUUCUUAUUAUGCAAAAAUAUAUGUACCUGUAGUACCGGGGAUUUUUACAACAUAUUUGCUGUUAGUCCAAACUCUGGAGGCCAACUGAAACAACAUCCUCAUCUUUUAGGCCAGCUAAAAAUGCCUUCUCUAAUUUUCCUUUAAUUCUAUUGUAUUUACCUAUGCUUUUCAUUCGCAAACUGAGUAACAGACAUAUGGACCGAUGAAUAUGCACUUUUAUCAAAUGAAUGAAUGAAUCACUGCCAUUUUGGAGGAAACUCGUGGUAGCAAAUCUAUCAUUCUGCAUUGUGGAUUCAAUAUUCAUGCAAUCUGAAUGGAGUAUCUGAAUGCAUGUCUUAUGGUAUAUUGGCAUCCAUCUGUUGCAUUUGACAGUACCAUGUUGGCACAUUGCAAACACGUGGUUAAAUACAUAACUAUAAUGGCGAAUUUCUUGGACCGUAUUUCUCGUAUAUGAUGAGCAUGAGUUGAACUCUAGUUCAGCAAGACUACGAAAUCUUGAGCUCUUGGCCCUAAGCUCUGAUUUGCUCCUCUUCUUGCCUAUUUGCUUUUCAGGUAAUGGGCAUUUUGUCCUGGGUAUAAAGGUCACCACAUUUCUGAAAUGCACAACUUGGCACUAUACAUGCGGCGCAGGAUCAAUGUGCAUCCAGGUUCUAGUUUUGCGCCAACAAAAUGGACUUCAUGACAAGCACACUGCAAUCCUUCGUCUGUAAGUAUUCCGCUGCUGGCAAUCCUUCGUCUGUAAGUAUUCCGCUGCUGGCAAUCCUUCGUCUGUAUCGGGCAUCUCUGGAAUAUGUUUUGGGUCCAAGUUAACCUUGUUGCCGGAGGACAUUUUGGCCCCUUCCCGGACCCCCGGCGACCAGCGCUUGUACCACAGGUAACACUGAUCCCGCGAUGAAGCUGA